rnacentral:lncRNA from 14 species
CUUUAGGCUAAAUAAAUUUUAAACAUUUUAAAAAGAACAACUGAGUAAUGCCCAAAAAAGCUCCUGACAGAGGAGGAAGCAGAGGGUAAAAGCUCUUGCUCUAGGUCUUCCCAAGGCUAAUGAAAGCUUUAACUUAACACUGUUCAAAUCCAAGUAACAGGCAAAACUAGUAGUUUUCUGUAUUUUAGCUGUCUCAGGUGAAUUUUGGGAACGUGGGUACUGCCUCCACUAUUGGAAGAAGAAAUUAUUAUGUUUUGUGUGAUGUGUGUGGGGAGCUGAGGGGUUUUUUUUCUUCUUCUUUCUUAACAGCUUUUUCACACCAGCCUUUUUAUGAUCACAGAGUAACUUGAGUUGGAAAGGAUCCCGAAACGCCAUCUGAUCAAAGCUCUGCUCAAAUCAGGUGACUAAGGCAAGGGCUGCACAUGCCAUGUUGGUAGCCCUUGGCUUACCUAAAGCAUGAUGCUCUACAGCAGAAGUGCUGUGCCUCUCAUGGGCUUCAAACACAAGGGUGUGCAGAAGAUUUUGCUCACUGCCCUAGUGAGAUGGGGCACGGCUGCUGGAGACAAGCCUUCCUCCAACCUACCCUCUGUCUGGGCUGCCAUGCAGACAGCUGCUCAUGCUGUUGCUACUGUCGGGGCGACUGAGUGUUGGGGUUUCACCAGGUGACAUUACCUGAAGUCUUCUGCUGCACUGGUUAUGAGAGUGCCUAUGUCACUGAGAUCCAGUCAUUAGCUGUCAUCCACCAGGAACAACAAAGCAUUUGCUAGAAGAGAUCUGGUUCUCUGUCAGACCGCCUUAGGAUAAAUUAUCCCCUGAUAGCUAACAGAAGCAUUUUCUACUGAAUAGCAUUGUAGAAAUACAGUUGCACAAGGAGUUAUUAUUAAAAGCACAGUGCUAGUUUUUAUACAGUUACUAUUUGUUUAGGCAAUUUUCAAAAAAGUAGUAAAUUCUCUAGCCCAAAAAUUAUUGCCUUUUGAUGAUUCUCUAGGAAUUAAAACUACAAUGAACAGCCUUUUUGUGCAUGGAGCAAA